rnacentral:rRNA from 1 species
CCUACGGGGGGCAGCAGUGAGGAAUAUUGGUCAAUGGGCGUAAGCCUGAACCAGCCAAGUCGCGUGAGGGAUGAAGGUUCUAUGGAUUGUAAACCUCUUUUAUAAGGGAAUAAAGUGCGGGACGUGUCCCGUUUCGUAUGUACCUUAUGAAUAAGGAUCGGCUAACUCCGUGCCAGCAGCCGCGGUAAUACGGAGGAUCCGAGCGUUAUCCGGAUUUAUUGGGUUUAAAGGGUGCGUAGGCGGCCUUUUAAGUCAGCGGUGAAAGUCUGUGGCUCAACCAUAGAAUUGCCGUUGAAACUGGGAGGCUUGAGUAUGUUUGAGGCAGGCGGAAUGCGUGGUGUAGCGGUGAAAUGCUUAGAUAUCACGCAGAACCCCGAUUGCGAAGGCAGCCUGCCAAGCCAUGACUGACGCUGAUGCACGAAAGCGUGGGGAUCAAACAGGAUUAGAUACCCCUGUAGUC